rnacentral:rRNA from 1 species
UACGGAGGGGGCUAGCGUUGCUCGGAAUCACUGGGCGUAAAGCGCACGUAGGCGGGUUCUUAAGUCGGUGGUGAAAUCCUGGAGCUCAACUCCAGAACUGCCUCCGAUACUGAGAGUCUAUGAGUCCGGGAGAGGUGAGUGGAACUGCGAGUGUAGAGGUGAAAUUCGUAGAUAUUCGCAAGAACACCAGUGGCGAAGGCGGCUCACUGGCCCGGUACUGACGCUGAGGUGCGAAAGCGUGGGGAGCAAACAGG